rnacentral:rRNA from 1 species
UACGAAGGGUGCAAGCGUUACUCGGAAUUACUGGGCGUAAAGCGUGCGUAGGCGGUUCGUUAAGUCUGACGUGAAAUCCCCGGGCUCAACCUGGGACGUGCGUUGGAAACUGGCGAUCUAGAGUACGGUAGAGGGUGGUGGAAUUCCCGGUGUAGCAGUGAAAUGCGUAGAGAUCGGGAGGAACACUCGUGGCGAAGGUGGCCACCUGGACCAGUACUGACGCUGAGGCACGAAAGCGUGGGGAGCAAACAGG